GAAACGGCGUCGGCGGCCGCCGGAGGCAGCUUCUGUCUCCGGCGGAAAGUCCGGACUCCGCAGAGCGGGGAGUCCGCCUUAUGGCGGAUACUGCAAAGCAAAUUUGCAGGAAGGAAAGCGCAACAGAAAGCAUACCGCCCGAGGAAUCGGGUAAGGGUGAAAUGGCCGGGUAAGAGCCGGCCGGGAAAGGGAGCGAUCCCUUCCGUCACGGCAAGCCCCUCCCGGAGCAAGGUCAAAUAGGGGAUGAGCUGCUGCUCGCAGCGUUCGAAUCCCGGGUUCUGACCGCAUAGACAGAUGGUCGCCGCCCGCAAGGGAACAGAAUCCGGCUUAUGACGCCGUUUCCUUU
rnacentral:RNase_P_RNA from 1 species